CUCGUAGGUGGUUUGUCGCGUUGUUCGUGAAAACUCACAGCUUAACUGUGGGCGUGCGGGCGAUACGGGCAGACUGGAGUACUGCAGGGGAGACUGGAAUUCCUGGUGUAGCGGUGGAAUGCGCAGAUAUCAGGAGGAACACCGGUGGCGAAGGCGGGUCUCUGGGCAGUAACUGACGCUGAGGAGCGAAAGCGUGGGGAGCGAAAG
rnacentral:rRNA from 1 species